UUAGGUAGAGGUUGCAGAAAACAUCAGUAACCUGUUUUAGCUCUGGCAGAGCAGUGAGAACAGGAGAAAGGGAAUUCUGCCGAAAGAUUUAAAAAAGCCUGUUUUAAAUCUUGGGCAUAUAAAAAAUAUUUAUAUGACUGACAUCAGAUAAAACUGAUGUAGCGCUAUCA
rnacentral:ncRNA from 1 species